rnacentral:rRNA from 1 species
UAGUCCUACGGGACGCAGCAGUGAGGAAUAUUGGUCAAUGGCCGAGAGGCUGAACCAGCCAAGUCGCGUGAGGGAUGACGGCCCUACGGGUUGUAAACCUCUUUUGUCGGGGAGCAAGACCCGCCUCGUGCAGGCGGAGCGAGAGUACCCGAAGAAAAAGCAUCGGCUAACUCCGUGCCAGCAGCCGCGGUAAUACGGAGGAUGCGAGCGUUAUCCGGAUUUAUUGGGCGUAAAGCGAGUGCAGGCGGUUCCAUAAGU